rnacentral:lncRNA from 1 species
UAUCAUUCUCAUCAAGGCAUCAGCGUGGCACAUUAGACCUCUUCCAAGCCAUUCCACUGGAACUUCUCUCUCCAAAUGCUCCAGCAAGAGUAAACUUGUUAUGCAAACAUUGGAUCAUUGUCUCUGAGCUACAGAAGCACCUCUGUGUCGGUGAAAGGGGAGAAACUGGCUGACUUGCGUCUGUUUUUAAUGAUGUCGCUGCUGCUGGGAAAAUUUGGAAGCUGCAGAGCCAAGAACAUCAGAGGUGGGAUGAUGAUGCUUGUGGCUAUGAGACAGGAUUUCAAGGAUCCUGAUGAAACGUCUGCUGGCCUGAAUCUGUCUGAAUGCUGAAAAGGACUUUGUGUUACUCUAACUGAAAGGAAAACAUAAAAUGAUGAUAAUGUAGCCCUUUAUGGUUUUCAGAUCCCUUUCACAUACAUUAUCUCAUUUAAGCUUUGUGACAAUGGUGUGCAGCAGAUAGGGCUAAGAGUACAGUCAAUCUCAUUUUAGAGAUGAAGAAAUAGAGUUCUGAGAGUUUCAUACCUUCCCCGGGUCCAAGAAAUUAUUCCCAAAGCUGCAACUGGGUUUCUAGACAUGCUACCAGCACCUUCCCCAAACCCAAGGGAGCGUUCUGCCUACC